rnacentral:rRNA from 1 species
AACAUAUUACCGAAGCUGUGGAUUGUCCUUUGGACAAUGGUAGGAGAGCGUUCUAAGGGCGUUGAAGCAUGAUCGUAAGGACAUGUGGAGCGCUUAGAAGUGAGAAUGCCGGUGUGAGUAGUGAAAGACGGGUGAGAAUCCCGUCCACCGAUUGACUAAGGUUUCCAGAGGAAGGCUCGUCCGCUCUGGGUUAGUCGGGUCCUAAGCUGAGGCCGACAGGCGUAGGCGAUGGAUAACAGGUUGAUAUUCCUGUACCACCUAUAAUCGUUUUAAUCGAUGGGGGGACGCAGUAGGAUAGGCGAAGCGUGCGAUUGGAUUGCACGUCUAAGCAGUAAGGCUGAGUAUUAGGCAAAUCCGGUACUCGUUAAGGCUGAGCUGUGAUGGGGAGAAGACAUUGUGUCUUCGAGUCGUUGAUUUCACACUGCCGAGAAAAGCCUCUAGAUAGAAAAUAGGUGCCCGUACCGCAAACCGACACAGGUAGUCAAGAUGAGAAUUCUAAGGUGAGCGAGCGAACUCUCG